rnacentral:rRNA from 1 species
CCCUUAGAUGUCCUGGGCCGCACGCGCGCUACACUGAGUGUCUGAGAUACGAGUCUGCCUGGUCCGGCAAGGUCUAGGUAAUCGCUAAAAGACACAUCAUGCUUGGGAUAGAUUAUUGCAAAUAUUAAUCUUGAACGAGGAAUUCCUAGUAAGCGCAAGUCAUCAGCUUGCGUUGAUUACGUCCCUGCCCUUUGUACACACCGCCCGUCGCUACUACUGAUUGGAUGUUUAAGCGAGGUUCUCGAACUGCUAGCGACUUAGCUUCGGUGAGGUCGCAGUGUGGGAAGUGAACCUAGCUUUGGUGUCUAGAGGAAGUAAAAGUCGUAACA